AGUAGUGUGACAUAGUGGUAAGGAGCUGGGCUUGUAACCAAAAGGUCACAGGUUCGAUUCCCUGCUGAGACACUGCUG